rnacentral:lncRNA from 1 species
CUAAUAUCGCGGUAGUUACAACCAAUGAUUUAUAUGAAAGCAAAGAAAAAAAAAAAAAACAACAAAAAAAACAGAGUAACCCAGGCUUAGCAUCAAGUCUCCGCUAGUGGCCGGGCACAGGGGGUGGGUGCUCAGUGCCUAGCAGUGGAACCCAUGGUCUCUGGCAGGGGCAGGACAGCAGCUGGUACGGGACUCCACCAGGCACGGCAAGGCUUGGGGCAAGCGCUCAGGUGGUCCUCAGCAGCAAUGACUCCCGACCUUCCCCAGUGGGACCAAGGACGGCACCUCCGCCUGCACAUAGCCCAGGACCCAACGGCCCAGGAUGAGGCCACAGUUCACCACUUGGGUCCCACAGCCCCACGUCUGGACCACCGGCCUCACAGAUGCGCUGUUUUCUUUGAUGAUUACUCUUUUCUGAAACCCCUCAUAACGUUGUUUUCUUGCACCUUUUCUUUCAUGAUUUCUUGUUUCUGAAACCCCUUCAUAGCAUUUUCUUGCAUGUUUGCUUUGAUGAUUUCUCUUUUCUGAAACCCCUCACAGUGUUGUUUCCUUGCAUCUUUUCUUUAACGGUUUCUCGUUUCUGAAACCCCUUCAUAGCGUUUUCUUGCAUGUUUGCUUUGAUGAUAUCUUUUUUAAAGCCCCUUCAUAGCGUUUUCUUGCACGUUUGCUUUGAUGAUUUCUUUUCUGAAGCCCCUUCAUAGCGUUUUCUUGCACAUUUGCUUUGAUGAUUUCUUUUCUGAAGCCCCUUCAUAGCGUUUUCUUGCAUGUUGAUUAUUCUUUUCUGAAGCCCCUUCAAAGCAUUUUCUUGCAUGUGUGCUUUUGUUUGUUUUUUUGAGACGGAGUCUCGCUCUGCCGCCCAGGCUGGAGUGCAGUGGCGCAAUCUCCACUCACUGCAAGCUCCGCCUCCUGGGUUCACACCAUUCUCCUGCCUUGGCCUCCCGGGUAGCUGGGACUACAGGCGCCUGCCACCACGCCCGGCUAAAUUUUUGUAUUUUUAGUAGAGACAGGGUUUCACCGUGUUAGCCAGGAUGGUCUCGAUCUCCUGAACUCGUGAUCUGCCCACCUUGGCCUCCCAGAGUGCUGGGAUUACAGGCGUGAGCCACCGUGCCCGGCCUCUUGCAUGUUUGCUUUGAUGAUUUCUUUUCUGAAGCCCCUUCAUAGCGUUUUCUUGCAUGUUCGCUUUGAUGAUUUCUUUUCUGAAGCCCCUUCAUAGCGUCUUCUUGCAUGUUCAUGUUGAUGAUUUCUUUUCUGAAACCCCUUCAUAGUGUCUUCUUGCACGUUUGCUUUGAUUAUUUCUUUUCUGAUGCCCCUCCAUAGCGUUUUCUUGCACGUUUGCUUUGAUUUCUUUUCUGAAGCCCCUUCAUAGCAUUUUCUUGCAGGUUUGCUUUGAUGAUUUCUUUUCUGAAGCCCCUUCAUAGCGUUUUCUUGCAUGUUUGCUUUGAUGAUUUCUUUUCUGAAGCCCCUUCAUAGCGUUUUCUUGCAUAUUUGCUUUGAUAAUUUCUUUCUAAAGCCCCUUCACAGCGUUUUCCUGCAUGUUGAUGAUUCUUUUCUGAAGCCCCUUCAUAGCAUUUUCUUGCAUGUUUGCUUUGAUGAUUUCUUUUCUGAAGCCCCUUCAUAGCAUUUUCUUGCACGUUUGCUUUGAUUUCUUUUCUGAAGCCCCGUCAUAGAGUUUUCUUGCACGUUUGCUUUGAUUUCUUUUCUGAAGCCCCUUCAUAGUGUUUUCUUGCAUGUUUGCUUUGAUGAUUCUUUUCUGAAGCCCCUUCAUAGCGUUUUCUUGCAUGUUUGCUUUGAUGAUUUCUUUUCUGAAGCCCCUUCAUAGCGUUUCCUUGCAUGUUUGCUUUGAUGAUUUCUUUUCUGGAGCCCCUUCAUAGCGUUUUCUUGCAUGUUUGCUUUGAUGAUUCUUUUCUGAAGCCCCUUCAUAGCGUUUUCUUGAAUGUUUGCUUUGAUGAUUCUUUUCUGAAGCCCCUUCAUAGCGUUUUCUUGCAUGUUUGCUUUGAUGAUUCUUUUCUGGAGCCCCUUCAUAGUGUUUUCUUGCAUGUUUGCUUUGAUGAUUUCUUUUCUGAAGCCCCUUCAGGGCAGGCGAAUGUUGGGUCUCCCACAAAGUCUUACUUUGUUUUGCAACUUGAAAAACCAUUUUUUUUUUUUUGAGACAGGGUCUCGCUCUCUUGUCCAGACUGGAUGGAAUACAGUGGUGAGAUCAUGGCUCACUGUUGCCUCAAAUUCCUGGGCUCAAGUGAUGCUCCCACCCUGGUCUCCCAAAGGCCUUGUUUUGUAGUUUUGCUCUAAAUUUCAGGAGGUGGCUCCUGGUCUAUAUCCUGCCUCAUGUCCCGUCAACACAGCCUCGGGGUCUGAACCCAGUUGGAUCUCUCUUACUGAGGGUUUCUCCAAUGUCCGGGUCUCCGGUUGUGAGAGUCACAUGAAAGAUGUGAGGCCAGCUGGCAGCAGGCUCGUACGUCAACUGAAACUAGAAACCAUCUAAGUGAACUGGUUUUCUGUCUCACACGAAAUGCUCAUGCUGACUUUUGUUUGUUUUGAGACAGGGUGUUGUCCUGUUGCCCAGGCUGGAGUGCAGUGGUGCAAUCUUGGCUCACUGCAGCCUCCACCUCCUGGGCUCAAGUGAUCCUCCCACUGCAGCCUCCAGAGUAGCUGGGACCCCAGGCACCCA